UGAGGAAUGUUGGUCAAUGGGCGCAAGCCUGAACCAGCCAUCCCGCGUGCAGGAUGACAGCCCUAUGGGUUGUAAACUGCUUUUAUACAGGAAGAAAAUUUUCUACGAGUAGAGAACUGCCGGUACUGUAUGAAUAAGCAUCGGCUAACUCCGUGCCAGCAGCCGCGGUAAUACGGAGGAUGCAAGCGUUAUCCGGGUUCAUUGGGUUUAAAGGGUGCGUAGGCGGUUAUUUAAGUCAGUAGUGAAAUCCUGUCGCUCAACGAUAGAACUGCCAUUGAUACUGAAUAACUUGAGUACAGUUGAGGUAAGCGGAAUGUGUAGCGUAGCGGUGAAAUGCUUAGAUAUUACACAGAACACCGAUUGCGAAGGCAGCUUACUAAACUGCAACUGACGCUGAUGC
rnacentral:rRNA from 1 species